rnacentral:sRNA from 1 species
AAGAUGAUUACAGGUCAAGGCAGAGAUCUCUAUUCUGACCAGCUUGCUUUCUUACUUAAAAAUAACCUGAUUUUUAUAAACAAACUUCCUGUCUCUCUGCAAAGAUCACUGUCUACAUACUAACACUUCCUCUCCCCUUGGAGAAAAUAUUUCUCUUAGCUUCGCUUUUAGUGCAAGUGGUAGUAAUCAGUGUAAAGAUUCACCUUUGGAGAUCACCACUCAUUCUUUGGCCUGCAAAGAUUGAUGACCAGUAACAAAUAGAAAUGUUUCUCUCCUGAGGCAAAGCCCAACACACCUGUCUUUUGUCCACUUCUCCAGCAAAUUAGAUUUGUCUCUGGGAAUGUGUUUGUAACAUACCAACCUACUGCAGACCAGCAGAGGGAGCUCCCAUGUUGAAUUUGUUUGUUAGCUAUUUUUUCUCCCUUUCACAAAAACUAUUUCUUGACGACCUUUGAGAGAUUUCAAUAAAAAUUUUAAUCAGAGCAAAAAUGAA